GCAUAUGCCAGGUGGCAUAUGAGUAGCAUAUUUCUAUGAAAUCUUUUUAUGGCUGUCUGCUGUCUGCUUAACUGGGCAUUGAUGGCAGGUUAAUUUUUAAAAAGUUUGUACUUCAAAUAUAGGAACUAUCUUGCUUUCGGCGGAUUAUUCUCAGUUGGAACUUCGAAUAUUGGCGCAUUUGAGCGAAGACGCAGGUCUUUGUUCUGUUCUUAGCCAACCCGAUGGCGAUGUUUUCCGCGGCAUUGUAUCGGUUUGGAAAAAGAAAAAGCAAGAAGAAGUCAGAGACGAUGAAAGGCAAAAAGCGAAACAAAUCUUCUACGGGAUUGUUUACGGCAUGGGAUGUAAAAGUUUAGCCGAACAGUUGGAAGUCGGGGAAGAAGAGGCUCAACUCUUUGUUAACACUUUCCACGCAAGGUAUCCUAGUAUACAAAGCUUUAUAACAAACACAGUUAACCAGUGCCGCACGAAUGGAUUUGAUGAUGUUGAUGCCUAAUUUUCUUGACAGGUCAACCGAUGUGGAAAAAAAUUCAGGAGGAAAAUGAAUUGAACUGCUGACAUUGGCCUAUUCUGGAAUACAUCAGUUUGCAUCAUAAUCAGAAAGGACAAGAGAAGGAAAACGCUGGAACUGUGUGCUACAAUCAUGAUUCUUCUUAUAUUCUCCUCCGCUGGAAAACGAUACUUUAUUGUGUCAUGACCAAGAUGCUUAACAGGCGUCGGAAAAAAAAAAAAAGAGGUUUGUCUUCCAACAAAUGAAUACAGACUUACUUGACUCCCAAUUACAACUCGAAAGGUCAAGCGUUGGAAUGGGAUUGGCACCCCAUUGCAAUGCAAGACUGAAUAGAGAGGUAAGAGCCCUCAGCUGAUGUCACGAUGUGGAUCAUAUAGUACAGCAAUAUGAUCUCCGUCCGGGCAGGUCUGGAGGUUACUCGAUAGCAAGUCAAUCAAGUGCUUAGCGCAACCCUUUUUUUUUCUUUUUUUUUUCUUUUUUU